GAGCCGUUGCGGCAGUGAUUCGCGGCCUAUCAGCUUGUUGGUGAGGUAGUGGCUCACCAAGGCGACGACGGGUAGCCGGCCUGAGAGGGCGACCGGCCACACUGGGACUGAGACACGGCCCAGACUCCUACGGGAGGCAGCAGUGGGGAAUAUUGCACAAUGGGCGAAAGCCUGAUGCAGCGACGCCGCGUGAGGGAUGACGGCCUUCGGGUUGUAAACCUCUUUCAGUAGGGAAGAAGCGCAAGUGACGGUACCUACAGAAGAAGCACCGGCUAACUACGUGCCAGCAGCCGCGGUAAUACGUAGGGUGCGAGCGUUGUCCGGAAUUAUUGGGCGUAAAGAGCUUGUAGGCGGUUUGUCGCGUCUGCUGUGAAAAUCCGGGGCUCAACCCCGGACUUGCAGUGGGUACGGGCAGACUAGAGUGUGGUAGGGGAGACUGGAAUUCCUGGUGUAGCGGUGAAAUGCGCAGAUAUCAGGAGGAACACCGAUGGCGAAGGCAGGUCUCUGGGCCACUACUGACGCUGUGAAGCGAAAGCGUGGGGAGCGAACAGGAUUAGAUACCCUGGUAGUCCACGCCGUAAACGUUGGGAACUAGGUGUGGGUCUCAUUCCACGAGAUCUGUGCCGCAGCUAACGCAUUAAGUUCCCCGCCUGG
rnacentral:rRNA from 1 species